rnacentral:rRNA from 1 species
UACGUAGGGGGCGAGCGUUGUCCGGAGUUACUGGGCGUAAAGGGCGCGCAGGCGGUCUGGUAAGUUUGGAGUGACAGUGCUCGGCUUAACUGAGCAAGGCCUUCGAAAACUGCUAGACUUGAGCACUCGAAGAGGGACAUAAGAAGUUCCGGGUGGAGUGGUGAAAUGCGUAGAAUAUCCGGAGGAGUACCAAAGGCGAAGGAGUGUCCUGGGGACGUG